UUAACUCUUAAUUCACACAAUACACACACAUUCAAACGCAAAACCCAUCUGAUUUUCCUCCCAUUCUCCCUCUAUCUCAUGUUACUCCACCUUUCUUCUUCUCCGAUGAGCAAAACCAGUCGACUCCAGCGAAACCACAACCAUCGGAGUACGGCCUCUGAUCUCCAACCUCACACCAUUACCUCCUUCCCCUUUCAUCUCCCCCUCCCCAUUUCCCACUCUUUUCCACCACGGCAUCCCCGAAAUUGAUGGUCGGAGGGCUCCCAACGGCACUAUCGCAACUGUGCUGCCCCUUUUCCUCUCCCAUUUGCACUGGUUAGUAUAAAAAAUGGUCAGAUUCAUCUAUUUUCAUGCUUCUCCAGUGUUGCUCUGGCAUUUUUCCUGGGAGCAAUGCCUUCCCCUUCCUUAUUUGUCACAAAUAUGACCGAAGAGUUCAUUCUCUUGCGAGGUUUCCUAUUUUUGUUCAAAAUCCAUCAUUUUUGCUACACUUCGGAUUAUGUUGGAUAUAUUUUAUAUAUUUAUUUGUUAUAUUGUUUUGUUGCUAGUCAUGUUGUCUUGCUGCUCAUAUCUUUAUUGUUGUUGAAAAUUGUUUAAAUUUUAUGUCCCAGUGGCUUCUUGGUGAACUGUUUUGCUACUUUGUGUCAUUGCUAUUGUUAUUCUUGGAUUGAUUUUACCUUAUGUUGCUAAAUUCAUGUCGUCUUAGAGCCCCUAAUAAUUAACUCAAGUGACGAUCUCGUUCCUUCGUUGUUUGGUUAUUUUUAAUCUAUUGUUGCCUUGUGAUAUUUUAUUUAUUUGUUUAAACGGAUGAAUGAUGAGGUACUUGGCCAAUGAAAAUAUUACCGUCGUAUUUUGAGGCCUCCACAAAUAAAAAAUGGAUUAAACAUAUACAAAUACCUAAUAAAAAAUAAAUAUUUUGGGUGAUGACGAAAUUGUUAUAAUAUUUUAAAACUUUAUCCAAGCCUACUUUUUAAUGAAAAUUAUAUUUUUAAUAUAUUCUUUUUUACAUAUAUGAACACAUACCUUCUCAAUUCAUUUGAUAAUUAUUUAUUCUUUAGUAACAUUUUUAUUAUAAGUGUUUAUACAGGUUAUCGAGAAUACUUAUCGAAAACGAUAUUCAAAGAAGAAUUUUAAAUUUUGUGUUUGUAAUUUUUAUUCUUACACUUGUGUAAGUAUCAUCAUAGCAGAAAUUUUAUUUUGGAGCAUUGGGUGUUGAUAUUCUUUAUUUAUGUAAUCUUCACCGCACGUUUAGGCAAAUUUAGGUCGUUACUAUUUAUAUAAAAAAAGAAUUAAAUUGAUUUAGAUAUUUAAUUGAAUAAAUUACACUUUUUACACUAAAAUAUUACGUAUUUUUAUCAUUAGAACAGAUUUUUGUUUUUCAAUCUUUCUAUUUUUAAUACAUAUUCUCAUGCACUUUAAUUUAUCUGCAUACACUUUUUAUACGCAUAUAAGAUGAAAUAUGUAAUUUACAUAUUUUUUACAUAUAAAUUAUUUAUAUCAUCUUAAUACACAUUUUAUAUUUGUAUUUACAAACACUGGUUUUUUUCCUUGUUUAAUAAACCUAAGUCUGUCCGAGAACCACAUUUGUGGAUUCUGAAGGGUGCCUAACUCCUUCUAUUUGGAAUCAUUUGAACCUUACCGAGAAUUUAAAUUGGUUCAUAGAUUAAAAACACAAUUCAUACAUGUUAAUAAAUAAAUAGGUUUCCUUAAAAAUUAGAUGGCGACUCUGUAUAAAAUUAAUUUUUUGUGAGUCCAUAAUAUCGUGCUUGUUUUAAUCUAUGUAAAAAUAGAGUAUGACAGUUUGACGACUCUGUUGGGGAGAAGAAAGGUUCUAACCAUUACAGACUUAGGUAACAAUUUAUGUUUUCAUACAUUGUUUUUUAUUUUUCCUGAUUGAUUUAAUUUAUCUUAUUUGUAUGACAAAAAUUAUUUAUUUAUUAUUAUUUUAAAUAGAUUAUUUAUUUUGUAUCUCUUUAUUAAAUUGAUAUUUCAUUCAUACUUUCUCCAUUACGGAAAAUUGACACUCACACACAUUAGACACACGGAUUGUACAUUGUUCUUUCCCAAAAUUCUUUCAAAUCACCUUACUUUAGCGAGUUGGCACAUACGUGGGGUGAGUGAAAGUUUUACUGCCGUGGGACUACGUGCCUUCUCAUAUAGGAAAUUCAAGUAUGUGUCUACGCACUCUUAGUCAACAUAGGAUAGAACUAAAACAAUACCUUUUAGGUGCAUGCAUAUUUGUCAAUUUUAUCCUGCUGUUCGAAGAGUUCUUGACCUAACUGAUGCAAUAUCAUAGUCUUUGUACAUAUAUGAAUGAUAAUUGUGCUUAUAUGUUUGCUGCUUCCCUUAAAUUGGUUAUACUUUAGUAAUAGGGGCGGCUCGAGCAUAUUCAUGACCUAAGGUAAAAAUCAAAUACAAGCCUUAAAAUUUUAAGAAAAAAUAACUUUCUUUAAAUGAACGCUAUUUUUAAAAUUAUAUAAUUGAUUUUUUCUAAUUUUUGCUUUUUAAGCAAUAAUAUAAUAAAUCCAUUUAAUCUUUCUUGCGACAUAGUACACUAGAUAUAUGAACUUUUUCUAAUAAUUCUUUCCUUUUAUAUAAAAAGAUUAUUUUUUCUAUAAAUAAUAUUCCAUUUUGUUUAAAAAAUUUAUUUAUAUUAUUAUAAAAAAGGAGGUCCCUCAAAUUUGGGGGCGUAAGGUGGUCGCCUAUUUUUUGACAAGGUAGAGUCGCCCCUGUUUAGUAGGGAAGGUGUACUUUAACCUUUGUUUUGCAGCGCAGAUUAGUUAAAAGAUGCACCUUUACAGCAUCGCCAUUAAUUGGCAUAGGUUUGAACUACGUUUUGACCUGAUUCUUUUCCUGACAAGAUACGUAGUAAACCCUAUUUAGGGUCCGGUCUCUUCACUAUUUUAGAAUAAUUUCUCUUGUGUAAAAAACUGAGGCAAUUUUCUAGAAUAGUUCAAAGACGCUCUCUAAAAGCCUUCAAGAGUGUAAAUUAAUAGCUCCGCAAAUCCAAAUCUCAUUUACAUUAGUGCAUAGCCGGCCUAUCUCGAGAUCUUUACCCAAUUUUAAUUCAAGAACACCUAGAUUCUUCUUUCGAACAUCAUAAACCAUUAAAGUUAUGGCGUAUCGAUCCCCACUUUCAAAAUCAAGGGUUCAACACUCGUUCAAUAAUAAUAACCUUGCCAGCUGCAGCAAAAUAAUGAUAUAACUUCUUCAAUAUUUGACCUUCUCAAUUUUGUCAACACAUUGAAGUAGUUAAAGCUCUCCUCAUACUUGAAAUCCUCUCGAUCGUCUGAUUAGAAAAAUUUUGAUGCUAAAAGAACAUGCUUCCUAGUCAUCUUCACAUUAUUUACAAGGAUGACCAUAAUUUUUUAUCAUACAUGGCAUAUACAAAUUUAUAAAUUUACCUAAAUGCAGACCUGACUCUUGUUUUCGUAAGAUAUGUAGGCAACCCUUAUUUGGGUUAAUUCCUGUUCAUUUUCUAAAUAAUAAUAAUAAUAAAAUUUUGACUUGUUUAGUACCAAUACAGUUAGGGGUAUGCAUGAGAAAGAACAACUUGGCAUGAUAGAAAGGACCGACUUCAUGGUAAACCAUAGAUUCUUUUAGUAUCUUUUAUCAUACUUGAGUAACACUUGAAAAUUCUCUUGCAUAUACAAGAACAAAGUUAACCUUAUUGUUUCAUGUGCAUUGUGUCGUGAACUUUAGUUUAAUUCAUUGCAUUGCAUUUUUGAUCUAGAACUUGGCCUAAAUGUUUGUUAAGGCAAAAUUCUAAGUCAUGCUUCAUUUAGGAAAGGAUCAUAGGCCUUCUUUGACCUGAUUUUUCCUUUCAUAGCCCAACAAAUGACAUUAAUCCCUAGAAUUCCCCCUUUUGAUCCUACAACCUUUCUUUGGACAAUCACAUGCAAGCCUAUACCUUUUUGAGUGUUCAUAUGCACUAUCCUUCUCUUGUCCUCACCUCCUUGAGCGUACUAAAUACGUAUAAAUUGCAGACGAAGAUUCAAGAUCAAGGAUGCAAGGUGAAAUAUAUACUAUUCUAGAAGAAAAAAAAAUGAAAAGACGACUUUAAAAGGAGCAAAACAACCCUCCAAGAAAAAGAAAAAGAAGGAAAAAAAAAGAAAAGGAGAAAAAAAAAAGAAUACCAAAAUAAAAAUCAAAAAAAAAUUAUAUAUAUAUAUUUAUUUAAAAUAAGGGGAGGGGGGGUGGAAUCCAAUACAAGAUUCAAAAAAAGUCUAAGCAAAUACAAAACACGGGGCAAUGAAUCACAACUAAAUAGAUCACGCGUCAAAGCGCAACAAACAUUGAAAGCACAAAUGCAAUAUAAUGCUCAUUGAAGAAUUAGUCACUUUUAUCCUAAAUAUUAUUCUACCCGUCCCCAAGCCAACAUUACAAGUCAAGUCAAUACAAAGUCCUACAAUAUCCUCUCCCAAGUGUUCUCCCAUUAGUGGAUACUUACUUGAAGGUCAAGCCUAUAGUAUCACAAUUGCAUGCAUUGAAUAUCUUUCUGAGUGUGAGUGUAUUUCUCUAGGUGUAUCCAAAUCCAAAAAUAAAAUUAUUCAACUAUGUGUGAAAUGAGACUUUUAUUCUAGGAAAGGGUGCUUGAAACAUGAGGAUAAGUGUAGUUUGAAACCUUUGUCUGAAGCAAGACGAACAAAUCUUGUUGAUACUUAGGUAUGUCUGAGAUACCACUUGAAACAAUAGGAGUUACCCUGAAGUCGAUCGCGGUUAGAUGGAAAGGAGAUGAAGGAAUUCUUAUGCUCACUAUAAAUUAUUGGUACCAGCUGAAGUAAAAGCACGAUCGUUUCUUCUUCAUCUUUCAGCACUUUUUAUUAAGUUUUUUCUUUCUUUGUUUUCUCAAGAUGCUUACUUUUACAUACGGGCAUUUUUCUUUCUCAUUCAAGACACCUACUUUCACAAGCAGAUAUUUUUAUUUUUCAUUUAUUGCUCCAGUUUUCAAAGACAAGCAAUUGAUUUUUUCUUUCAAGUACAUACAUUUAAAUACCAACAUUUUAUUUUCCAGUCAGGCACCUAUUUUUGAGUAUUUUUACAUUUUUAUAGCUCGGCCAAUCGAGAGACUAUUACAUUUGUUCUUUCAAUCGAGAGACUAUUAGCGUUCAAUAACCUCACUAAUUGAGGGCCUCAGUCUUCGUAGACAAUUAAAGACGACAAUAAAUAUCAAUCUCCAUAAAUAAUUGGAGAUGUCAUGCAUCAAGUCCUCAUACAAAAUCGGAGAUGUCAUUCAUUCUCAAGUCUCCAUAAAUAAUUGGAGACAUCAUGUCUUUUUUUUAAUAACAAGAUUUUUUUAAAGUUUCUUUCAAAGAGGUCAGUGUUAGCUAUAAAUCAUACACUGGGGAAAAUUUUGAGAACCGCCUCAAAAUUUAUUCUAUUUUCUCAUUUCAAAUUGCAUUGACCUGAUUCUCAUGACACUCGAGAUAUGUAGGAAUCUCUAUGUUGAGUUCGAUCAUCACAACCCCAUAAUCAUUAUUUCUCCCUAGUAAGUACACAAUCUUGCAUUUCUCAACAUCUCAAAACUCGAUACUAGGGCAUUUUCGAAAGCAACAUUGGAAAUAUGUGAACACUUCCAUUCCCAAAUAAUUAUUUGCCCGAUAAUCAAUUUUUACAGGGGUUUGUCCAUCCUAAAUAGGACAAUUGAGUCAGCCUGCCCUCCAAAAAGACAGCUAUGCAUGUUUUUCUUUAAUUAGAUAUUUAUGCUUGCUUGUCUUUACUUGCACAUAUAGCAACAUAUUUAUUUUACUAUUAAAGAACUACAUCCUAUUUUUGUCUUUACUUGCAUAUGUUGAAAUAAAUUUAUUUUAUCAUUUAAGCACUCCACGCUAUCUUUGCCUUUACUUGUAUAUGUCGGAAUGCAUUUAUUUAAGCACCACAUAUCAUAUUUACCUUUACUCGCACAUCUCACAAAUGAAUUUAUUUAUAUCAUUUAACCACUGUAUUUCAUCGUUGCCUUUACUAGAACAUGUACAUUCCAUUUAUUUUAUCAUUUAAGCACUGCAUGCAAUCUUUGUCUUUACUUGCACAUCUCGCAAAUACAUUUACUCUUAUCAUUUAACCACUGCAUGUCAUCUUUGCCUUUACUGACACAUAUCGUAAUGUAUUUAUUAUUUAAGCACUGCAUGCUAUCUUUAUCUUUAUUUGCACACAUCGCAAUGCAUAUCAUUUAAGCACUGCAUGUCAUUUUUUUCUUUGCCCGCACAUAUUGCAACACAUUUAUUUUAUUAUUUAAGCACAAAAUACCAUCUUUGUCUUUAUUUGCACAUAUUGUAAUGCGUUUAUUUUGUAAUUUAAGCAUUGCAUGCACAUAUUACAAUGUAUUUAUUUUAUUAUUUAACCACUGCACGCCUCACAAAUAUCACAAUGUAUUUAUUUUAUCAUUUAAGCACCUCAUAUUAUGUUUGUCCUUACCUGUACACAUCGCAAUGCAUUUAUUUUAUCUUAUUAUUUAAGCAUCACAUGCUAUCUUUGUCUUAACUUGCACAUGCCGCAAUGCAUUUAUUUUACCAUUUAAGCACCGUAUGUCAUCUUUGUCUUUGCCUGCAUACAUAUCGCAAUGCAUUUAUUUUAUCAUUUAAACACGCAUGCUAUCUUUGCCUUUAUUUGUACAUAUCACAAUACAUUUUUUUUUAUCAUUUAAGGAUUGCAUGCACAUAUCGCAAUACAUUUAUUUUAUUAUUUAAUCACUGCACACUUUGUAAAUAUUGUAAUGUAUUUAUUUUAUCAUUUAAGUACUGCUACCAUCUUGGCCUUUACCUACAUAUAUUGCACUAAAUUUGUUUUAUCAUUUAAGCACUACACGCAAUUUUUGCCUUUACUUGCAUAUCACAAUGCAUUUAUUUUGUUAUUUAAGAACUGCAUGUCAUAUUUGUCGUUACCUGCAUAUAACAUGCAUUUAUUUUAUCAUUUAAGCACUGAAUGUUAUAUUUACCUUUAUUGUUUUUCUUAAUUAUUUAAGCAUUGAAUGUUGCCUUUUAAAUUUCUCAAAAAAAAAUCAAGUGUAAUUUUUCAUUUGUGUUUUAUUGAGCAUCACUUUUUAGUUUAUGAAUUUUUCAGGCAUAUAAUUUGAGGAUAAAUUGAGUCCGUCCACCCUAAAAUAAGAUA
rnacentral:lncRNA from 1 species